rnacentral:rRNA from 1 species
UACGGAGGGGGCUAGCGUUGUUAGGAAUUACUGGGCGUAAAGCGCGCGUAGGCGGAUUGUUAAGACGGGGGUGAAAUCCCGGGGCUCAACCCCGGAACUGCCUUCGAUACUGGCAAUCUGGAGUUCGAGAGAGGUGAGUGGAAUUCCGAGUGUAGAGGUGAAAUUCGUAGAUAUUCGGAGGAACACCAGUUGCGAAGGCGGCUCACUGGCUCGAUACUUACGCUGAGGUGCGAAAGCGUGGGGAGCAAACAGG